CAGUCGCCGCGGUAAUACGAAGGGUGCAAGCGUUAAUCGGAAUUACUGGGCGUAAAGCGUGCGUAGGCGGUGAGUUAAGUCUGCUGUGAAAUCCCCGGGCUCAACCUGGGAAUGGCAGUGGAUACUGGCUCGCUAGAGUGUGUCAGAGGAUGGUGGAAUUCCCGGUGUAGCGGUGAAAUGCGUAGAGAUCGGGAGGAACAUCAGUGGCGAAGGCGGCCAUCUGGGACAACACUGACGCUCAUGCACGAAAGCGUGGGGAGCAAACAGGAUUAGAUACCCCCGUAGUCCCUGUCUCUUAUAC
rnacentral:rRNA from 1 species